UGUCUUUUUUUAUUCUAUAAAAAACUAUAUACUACAACUGUUGGUUUACCAACUAUGGUAAUAAACGGUAUAUGGAAUAAGCGUAGUGGACCCGGGGGCGGUACCCGGCAUCUCCACCAUUAUGGGGAUGAAACAGGAUCGACACGCGUAGUAAAGAUAUAUUUUUUACUCGGCAUUGUACCGCCGUUAUCGGGCUUAUUUUUACAAAUGCCAACGAUAAUUUCGAGGCACACGCUGUUGCGGCUUAAUAGGCCAAUGUAACAAGCGCGGCUGAGGGUGCGCCGGGCAACAGAAGCCCCUCACU
rnacentral:tmRNA from 1 species